rfam:Gossypium raimondii Chr07_contig_432, whole genome shotgun sequence.
CACGUCAGCGCGCUUUGAUGACGUGGACACAAAUCGCGCUUUCAAGGACGCGAUUUGUUGCCACGUCAGCAUAGCGCACUGACGUGG